rnacentral:misc_RNA from 1 species
ACGAGUGAGGGUCUUCGCGGCCCGACCUCCCAACCCUUUGUUUAUUGAACCUCUGUUGCUUCGGCGGACCCGUCUCACGACCGCCGGAGGACCGCCUCGCGGCGUCCUCUGGCCAGCGUCCGCCGGUGGCCAACCACUUAAAACUCUGAAUGAAUCGUGUCAUGAUGUCUAAGUCUAUGAUUAAAUUAAAAGCA